AUUGAACGCUGGCGGCAUGCCUUACACAUGCAAGUCGAACGGUAACAGGUCUUCGGAUGCUGACGAGUGGCGAACGGGUGAGUAAUACAUCGGAACGUGCCCGAUCGUGGGGGAUAACGGAGCGAAAGCUUUGCUAAUACCGCAUACGAUCUACGGAUGAAAGCAGGGGACCGCAAGGCCUUGCGCGAACGGAGCGGCGGAUGGCAGAUUAGGUAGUUGGUGGGAUAAAAGCUUACCAAGCCGACGAUCUGUAGCUGGUCUGAGAGGACGACCAGCCACACUGGGACUGAGACACGGCCCAGACUCCUACGGGAGGCAGCAGUGGGGAAUUUUGGACAAUGGGCACAAGCCUGAUCCAGCAAUGCCGCGUGCAGGAUGAAGGCCUUCGGGUUGUAAACUGCUUUUGUACGGAACGAAAAGGCUCUGGUUAAUACCUGGGGCUCAUGACGGUACCGUAAGAAUAAGCACCGGCUAACUACGUGCCAGCCGCCGCAGUAAGAC
rnacentral:rRNA from 1 species